GACGAACGCUGGCGGCGUGCUUAACACAUGCAAGUCGAACGGAAAGGCCCUGCUUUUGUGGUGUGCUCGAGUGGCGAACGGGUGAGUAACACGUGAGUAACCUGCCCUUGACUUUGGGAUAACUUCAGGAAACUGGGGCUCAUACCGGAUAGGUGCUCCUGCUGCAUGGCGGGGGUCGGAAAGUUUCGGUGGUUGGGGAUGGACUCGCGGCUUAUCAGCUUGUUGGUGGGGUAGUGGCUUAUCAAGGCUUUGACGGGUAGCCGGCCUGAGAGGGUGACCGGACACGUUGGGACUGAGAUAAGGCCCAGACUCCUACGGGAGGGAGCAGUGGGGAAGAGUACACUAUGGGCGGGAGCCUAAUCCAGCAACGCCGCGUGCGGGAUGACAGCAUGCAGGUUGUAAACCACAUUCGCCUGUGACGAAACGAGAGUGACGGUAAUGGAUAAAGAAGCACCGGCUAACUACGUG
rnacentral:rRNA from 1 species